AUUGAACGCUGGCGGCAGGCCUAACACAUGCAAGUCGAGCGGAUGAAGGGAGCUUGCUCCUGGAUUCAGCGGCGGACGGGUGAGUAAUGCCUAGGAAUCUGCCUGGUCUUGGGGGAUAACGUCCGGAAACGGGCGCUAAUACCGCAUACGUCCUGAGGGAGAAAGUGGGGGAUCUUCGGACCUCACGCUAUCUGAUGAGCCUAGGUCGGAUUAGCUAGUUGGUAGGGUAAAGGCCUACCAAGGCGACGAUCCGUAACUGAUCUGAGAGGAUGAUCAGCCACACUGGAACUGAGACACGGUCCAGACUCCUACGGGAGGCAGCAGUGGGGAAUCUUCCACAAUGGGCGAAAGCCUGAUCCAGCCAUGCCGCGUGUGUGAAGAAGGUCUUCGGAUUGUAAAGCACUGUAAGUUGGGAGGAAGGGAAGUAAGUUAAUACAUUGAUGUUUUGACGUUACCAACAGAAUAAGCACCGGCUAACUUCGUG
rnacentral:rRNA from 1 species